rfam:Dipodomys ordii contig_522, whole genome shotgun sequence.
GUGGUGAAUGAAAGGAGAGAAGGUCAGUACUCCCGUUGACAAGGAUGGAAGAGGCCCUUGGGCCUCACAACAUGCAUAUGGUUAAGGCAAUGCCACCUACUUCGUGGCAUUUAACCAUCGUUUUUC